AAGCAAACAAUUCAGCAGCAACCUUCCUCCAUUCACCUCCAUUCAUUCCUUACUCACCUGUAUUUGUUAAAGUAUCAACCUUAUUUUAGUUCAUCUCAUACAAAUCAACAACAAACAGCUAACGAACACCAAGCAUAGCAGGUCAAGCGCGAGAGUAAGAACUACUCAAGGAGUCAAAAUACCUUAGCAAAACCUUGCUAUCAGGUUGAGCUGUGAUGGGCGAUGAAGUGUUGUUGCUGAGUAGAGUUUUUGUCGAAUUUAAAGUAGGCUCAGAAAGGAUACAUGUCUCCAUACAUGUAUCUCAGUUAUGCAUUCCGCUGUAAACACUGAUUAUUUCAGUUACACCUUCCGUUGCAAACUCUGAUAAUGUUUUAGCCAAGCCCCUAACGAUGCCUUUUUCCUUUUAAGGAAUAUAACGCGUAUACAAGUUCUUUGAGUA